GAUCCUGGCUCAGGACGAACGCUGGCGGCGUGCUUAACACAUGCAAGUCGAACGCUGAUGACCUGGCUUUUGUUGGGUUGGAUGAGUGGCGAACGGGUGAGUAACACGUGAGUAACCUGCCCUCUUCUUUGGGAUAACGCCCGGAAACGGGUGCUAAUACUGGAUAUUCACUGAUCUUCGCAUGGGGGUUGGUGGAAAGGUUUGUUCUGGUGGGGGAUGGGCUCGCGGCCUGUCAGCUUGUUGGUGGGGUGA
rnacentral:rRNA from 1 species